CUCCACCGUUUAAAAGACAGUAUAUUCAAGGUUUGCAAGAUUUACAUUUAAGAGAUAUACUGUUUCUCAACAAUAACACCGAACCAUGGGGUGAAGUAAUACAAAAAUGGAAAGAUACAUUUAAAGUUCGAAAAGAAAGUGAACACAAGAGCGUUCAUGAGUUUCUACAAGACUGGAAAAUAUUAUCAGACCAAAGAAGUGACAUAUUGAUAAACAUUGACUUCGACUUGUUGUAUCCAGAAAAAGGGCUGAAUUUUUAUUUAAAUUGGAAAAUAUUUUUCGAAAAAAUUAUUGCUUUUAAACCGAACAGAGACGAAAG